rnacentral:sRNA from 1 species
AGGCAGGUCACGUGGUUCCCGGCUCUUGGCUGGACCGGGAAGACCAUAUGGCGCAUGCCGGGGAGGAAGGAGCAGGGGCGGAGGUCCCCAGGUUUGGGAAAAUCCUAAGGUCUACAUCAAAUUAAAAUGACAUUGAAAAGGGAAAAUAAGUAUGUUCAUCUGGUCUACACGAGAAAUCGGUGUCAUCGCUGCAGCUAACGCUGUGGACUUCAUGAGUAAAGACAGCUCAGCGGGAAGAUGGUCUCUCACACCAGGUGGUCCUGGGAGGUAAAGGAAACGAGCUGAUCCAGUUGGGACAGAUGGCCCUCUACCUUGUAGGCAGCAGGAGCCACAGUAGCAGGAACAUUUUGACAACAUCUCCACUCAGCGUGAGAAGGAAGCCUUCUCUGUGAGGCCUUGACAAUGGGCCCAUAGAGCAUCAGGAAUAAGGGAGAGGUGGACACGACCUAAGGUGACCUCACUUCCAAUGCAUGUUGGUGUGCAGAAAUAAAUGCUGACUUCUGCCAUACA